UACGUAGGGGGCUAGCGUUGUCCGGAAUCAUUGGGCGUAAAGAGCGUGUAGGCGGCUUGAUAAGUCCGCUGUGAAAGUCCAGGGCUCAACCCUGGAAUGCCAGUGGAAACUGUCAAGCUAGAGUCCGGAAGAGGCGAGUGGAACUCCUGGUGUAGCGGUGAAAUGCGCAGAUAUCAGGAAGAACACCAAUGGCGAAGGCAGCUCGCUGGGACGGUACUGACGCUGAGACGCGAAAGCGUGGGGAGCAAACAGG
rnacentral:rRNA from 1 species